GAUGAACGCUGGCGGCGUGCCUAAUACAUGCAAGUCGAGCGAACAGAUGAGGAGCUUGCUCCUCUGACGUUAGCGGCGGACGGGUGAGUAACACGUGGAUAACCUACCUAUAAGACUGGGAUAACUUCGGGAAACCGGAGCUAAUACCGGAUAAUAUAUUGAACCGCAUGGUUCAAUAGUGAAAGACGGUUUUGCUGUCACUUAUAGAUGGAUCCGCGCCGCAUUAGCUAGUUGGUAAGGUAACGGCUUACCAAGGCAACGAUGCGUAUCCGACCUGAGAGGGUGAUCGGCCACACUGGAACUGAGACACGGUCCAGACUCCUACGGGAGGCAGCAGUAGGGAAUCUUCCGCAGUGGGCGAAAGCCUGACGGAGCAACGCCGCGUGAGUGAUGAAGGUCUUCGGAUCGUAAAACUCUGUUAUUAGGGAAGAACAAAUGUGUAAGUAACUAUGCACGUCUUGACGGUACCUAAUCAGAAAGCCACGGCUAACUACGUG
rnacentral:rRNA from 1 species